GUGGCCCCUGCGCCUCUGGGCCGGGGCGGCCUGCUUCCCUCCCGCCCCACACACCGGGCCUGGUGCGAGCCAAGGCCCAGCUCAGCCCUGGGCUUCUGUAGGCUUCCGGGCCCCCCUCUGUUUCUGACUGAUGGGAACCCCAGGUCUGCGUCCAUAGAAGGCUCGGUGUUCAUGCAACAGGUGUGUACGCUGCUUUCGCCCAUCUGUUUGGACCCGGGCCCAGAGGAUCUUGUGCACAUUCAGUCCCCGCUACUGAACUGGGUGAACCGCAUGGUCGGCUCGGACCCAGGUUUACUUUGGCUGCUGAUGGUCCCGAGUCCUCCUGGUUACUCAAGAGUCCCCUGAAUCCCUGCGCAUAGAGAAUCAAAGACACUGUCUGAUGUUGUGGGGAAAACACAGGAGAAGAAAGAAGAGCACUGCAGGCUGGCUCUGGCUGAAAGCACGCCUAACACACAUUUGUUGAAAUCCGCCAUGUGCACUGUGGCGCAUUCAGCCCUGGAUUUUGUGACGUGAAGGAUUUGAUAACAACAGGAUAGCCUGGUGUUUGUUCUUUUCCAGGUCAGCAUUUCAAUUCACUUUGGAGGAAGCUGAAGUUCAGAAGUGUUAUGUAUCUACUGCCAUUGAUUUUUGGACAAUUUGUAUUCCAGAAGCCACUGAGAGCUUACUUAAAGUAGAUCCCAAGACAGAGCUCUUCCUUUUAGUUUCAGAGAGAUAAUAGUCUAAUACUCUGCAGGCCUCUUGAAUAGACCAGAGUUAUGAACACAUUCAGAUGCUAUUGCUCCCAUUCCAAGCCUCCUGAAGCUGUGGGCAAACUUUAUGAAAUGAUAUGUAAGUAGAAAUCAUUCUAGGGGGCACAGCUGGCCUCCUUUUGCCUUCACUCGGGAAAAUGUUGGGUAAAAUAGCAUCUGGCCCCUACACGGAGUCGGGGGUCUGCUAGGACACUGACGUAAGUCUCGGUAGGCUGUGGCGUCUCUGCCUGCGGAAAGAUUUUCUGAAUAUUCUACAUAUUACCCUGGGGCAUGAGGUAGAAUUUUGACUUUUGGUUAUUUUGUUAUGGAGAAAGACUGCUGGCUGAAGUGCAUAGAAAUUGAAUUAAAAAAUGUAGACUUGUCACUCCGCUAUGUGAGUUAGGCAAGUCUCAAAGGCCUGCUUCCGAAGCUAACAGAUUAUCUCAUAUUUCUAGUGGAGCUACAGUAAUUUCUCUCCUGCAUUCUGGUAUCUCUUGUUGUCUCCUACGUUCUCUGGGUGCAACAGAGCGGAUCUGAGAGGGAGAGUCUGUUGACGUCUGACUUCCGAGCUCACCACGGGCGGACCUGGAGCCCUGGAGGUUCUCCGUAAGGGGGCACUGAGUGGGCACCUCAGCACAUGGGCAUAGACGUAAGCAUGCCCUUCCCCCUCCCUGCAGAAAGAUCUUCCUUUUGAUCUCUUGGGGGUCAGAUCACUUGGUUGUGACACAGCAAGACGUUCACGUGAAAACCUUUCUCCAAAGACCACACAGUAGAAAAAGGCUGCACCGGUCAGACCAGAAGCCUAACACGUGUUUUCAAGAGUCUGGUGCACACGCUUCCAGCAUGUCCUUAGUGAAAAUAUCCCGGAAGGGCAUGUAGAAGAUUCAACUUCAUGACAGCCUUCCAAGGAGCGACCGGUGGAGAGAUGAGGCCUUUGGCUGUGAAGAGCGUGACCACUUUGAAAAGUGGUGCCCGGACACCUGCCUGCCCGGAGGGACACAGCCAAGUCCUUGCCCAGGCACAGGACAACUCAGGGAGGGCCGCCGGGUGUGAUUACCUGGGACUCUCUCCCUGUGAGUUCUGCAGAAAACACAUUUAUACCUCUCCCUACCGUCUCCUGAGGAACUGGCCUCUGUGGUGUCCAGACAGAGCAAGCACGACACCGUUUCCUGUUGGAGACAGGUCUCCUUUUGUUCUUUGCCUAAAUUCUGGAGGCCACAAGGACCUUUGAGCUUUGCAAAAAGUAGUAUUUAUGGUGAUUUCAGUGGCAUGUGGACACAAUCAUGUGAGUAGAAGUGGAGUCAGGGUCACACAGCAGAGCUGAAUCCUCCAUAGGAUUAACAUCCUGACUGUAACUGGGUAAGAAAUCUGGGGUGAGCUCGUGGAUUUUUUUUUGAUAAAUGCAUCCACGUUUAAAUGGAAAUUAGUCUUUCUAGGAAAAGAUGAAGUCUCUCUAUCUAAAUUCUUACUAAUGAAAGUCACCAAUGUUCUAAUAACAUACACAGCAAAUAGAAGUUUGAAGAUACCUGUAAUGAGACUUUAUGAGAAAAUCAAUUAAUGAGGAACAAUAAGAAUGAAGCGCUAAAUCAGAGUCAGAUUUGAAUCUGUUGACAAAUCAUUUACUUUCUCCUUAGCUUCAAUUGCAACACUCAUAAAACAGAAAUGACACUUCUUUGUCAAAUUUGCUAUAAGGAAGAAGUAUGAAAAUGUAUAUUACAAAAAAAGACAGUGAUGCACAUAAGAUAGCAAUUUAAAAAAAUGUCAAUAAAUCCUCCGGCCUUUCCCCCUCCAUUCAUCCGGACUUGCUGACAUUCAAUUAAAAAAAAGAGAGAGAGUGAUAUUAGUGCUUGGACAUUCGUUUUACUUUUAAUAGAAUUUCUGAAGUGUACCAGUAUCAGUGAGAAGAAGCUAUUAAUUUGGGAAUGAAGCCAUGAAAAUUAAGAGAAAAUAUGUGCCAACACUUGUAAUCAUAAAAACUUUAUU